GCAUUUGGAUAAUUAAGAUUCUUCCUGGGUGAAGAGCAACAGUCCCUUCUUUCUGAAUGACUGAAGAUUUAAGAGCUCUGCAUGCCCUGAACUACACUGUCCUGCGGAGGCAUUUGUUUGGGAACUGCGGCCUUGUGUGGCUCAAGCUCCAGCCGAGGAACAGAUGGUGCAGCGAGAGGGUCUUGCAGCAACUAGACCAAGAAGAAGGACACGCAGAUGCCAUUUGCUAUCAUGAGGUCUGUUUCUGCCAGCAGAAGAGUGGAGCUUCACGCCGUGACUGACAAGAUGCCUUGGCCAGCAAAGCUUUUCUCAUAUUAGAAAGAUUGGAGAGAAUUGUUUCUAUGGAAGUGGUGAACAUGGGACAGAAGUACUUCUCUCUUGAUAAGACCAGCAUGUGCAAACCAGGAAGAAAAAGUAAAAUCUCCAAUAAUAGAGAGAUAAAUCAAACAGGAAAAAAAAAAGUCUGGGUCCGAAAAACACGUGCAUUCCUGUAGCAGAGUUUAUGCGAGUUUUUUUUUCUUUUUUUCUUUUUUGUGAUGAGGUCACUAUUACUCACAUGGCUGUGUGGGAUAGACAGAGAACAUGCAUAAAUAACAAGAAAGCAAGCAUUCUAAUUUGCGCACCUUGUUUUUUUAAGAGUAUAAUCAUUGGCUGGAAUUAAUAGGAGCAGCUCUGAAUGAAUAACUUACUCAGCAUGUAAGUGAAAUAACUGAGAUUAGAAUCCUGAAUUGUUACCUUGGGCCUGGAGCAUUUACCUCCUUCUCUACCUGCUUAUCUCCAUCUCCUCCAAGGUGUGUUAACCUCAUGAUAAUCAAUCACUUCCAUGAUCAACAAUCUCGCUUCUUUUGAGAUACUCUUAGGAUUUCUGCUCUAAAAACUUAGACUACUGGGACUUGAUUUUCUUUGCUUUUUUCUCAGAAAUGUAUCUCUUUCUUGUCCAGUUGCAGCAAAAUCGAGUGUAUGCGGAGUUAAACUCCUACAAUUAAAUGUGCCAUUUCAGUUAUGGUUUCUUAUUCAGAGUUUUACUUUUUUGUGUCUAGAUUUCAUCUAUUAGUUUUAUAAUCUUCAUUGUACCCCCUUUGUGACAUAAAAAUUCUAUUAAACCAGUUUUACAAACAUUGGAAGGUUAGGAGCAAUAAACAUUGGUACAAAAGUCCCAAUUGAAAUUAAGGGUUUCUCAUAAAACACUACCUUUUAAGGAAAUAUUGCCAAGUAUAAUAUAAUUGUCUUCACUGAAUGUAUCAAUCAGAGUUCUUGAUUGCAGACAACAGAGGCCACCCUAACUGUUGAGGCAGGAAGAGUUUUAUUGAAGGAGUAUUAGGUAGCUCACAUCUAACACACAUAAACUCACAUACGAGUUGUUAUGAUAAUUCAAACUCUCACAUAUACUGUCAAAAGAGUGAAAAGGCAACCCACAGAAUGGGAAAAAAUAUUUGCAAAUCACAUAUCAGAUAAGAGAGUAAUAUACAAAAUGUAUAAAAAACUCCUAAAACUCAACAACAAUGACAAUAACAAAACAACCUGCUUUAAAAAUGGGCAAAGGACUUGAAUAAACAUUUAUCUAAAGAAAACAUACAAACGGCCAAUAAGCACAAGAAAAGAUGCUCAACCUCGCUAGCCAAUGCGGAAAUGCAAAUCAAAACUACAACGAGAUCUCACCUCAUAUCUGUUAGCAUGACUACUCAUUAGCAGCCAUCCUAAUUUUUAAAAACCCAGAAAAUAACAAGUACUAUGAAGAUGUGGGGAAAUCAAAUCCCUUGAUCUUGCUAGUGGGAAGGUAAAAUGAUGCAACUGCUGUGGAAAGCAGUUUAGCUGUUUCUCAAGAAUUACUGUAUGAUCUGACAAUUCCACUCCCAGGGAUGUGAUAUUGUUUGGCUCUGUGUUUCCACCCAAAUCUCAUGUUGAAUUGUAAUCCCCACAUGUUGGAGGAGAGGCCUGGUGGGAAGUGAUUGAAUCAUGGGGGCGGACUUCCCUCUUGCUGUUCUCAUGAUAGUCAAUGUGUUCUCUGGUUGUUUAACAGUGUGUAGUACUUCCCCCUUGGCUCUCUCUCUCUCCUGCUCUGCCAUGUGGAGAAGGUGCUUGCUUCCCCUUUGCCCUUCCACCAUGAUUGUAAGUUUCCUGAGGCCUCCCAAACCAUGCUUCCUGAACAACCUGAGAAACUGUGAGCCAAUUAAACCUCUUUGCUUCAUAAAUUA
rnacentral:lncRNA from 1 species